UUAGGCUGGAAGGGACAACCUCAGUGUCUGGGAGGAGAUACCUACUGCAGGCUCAGAUCUGGGGAGAAUGGUCAAAGUCAGUUUCUUGAAGGAACUGCCUCUGAGGAACUCACGCCUGGAGAGGGUGGGCAAGGUCCAUCUGGGAAGAAAGGCUUUUGAGAUAUUGUUCCAGCAGGGAGUAAGAGGCAAAGAAAGAAACGUGCUCACGGGUGGCUGAUCAAAUGUUGCUGUCUCUGUGAGACUGUCAGGGCAGAAGGGGAGGCUGGAGGACCUCAGCCUCGCAGAGACUCUGGAUGCACACCUCUGAGGAAGGAUGGCCAAGGCAAGUCUGAUUAGGAGACUCCUUUGGGAACUCAGCCCUAGGGAGAAUGAGCAAGGGAAAAGUCAUGUGCUGCUCAAAGGGAGUUAGAUCAAACAACUGCUACUGUGCCUGGAAGGUUGAAAGGAUGACCUUGCAUAGGUAAAGGUAAUUAAGAAGACUGCAAAAGUAUUGAACAAAGUACUGAACAUCCUUCAGGUUCAAUUGAAUACACAUAGAUGAAUUUUUAAAAAUAUUUUUUCUUUCUUUUUUUCUGGGAUCUACAGGCUUUUAUUACAUUUCAGUAAUAAGUUCAAAAUUGGAUUACUUAUUUUACAUGUAAAAUUGUGUUAAUAAUCAUAAAUAAAAAUUUAAGUAGCAUUUAUUUCCUAUUUUGAAGUCUCUGUCUGGUCAUAUUAAGAGACAGAAGCGGUCAUUUUCCAAAUCAGGCCUUCAUGGAUCCUUUUGAAGAUUAUUCCUUUGACUUGUAUGGUCUGAUGCUGAGUGAAAUGAGCAGAACCAGAACGUUGUACACAGUAACAGUGACAUUGUGU